AUUGAACGCUGGCGGCAGGCCUAACACAUGCAAGUCGAGCGGAUGAAGGGAGCUUGCUCCUGGAUUCAGCGGCGGACGGGUGAGUAAUGCCUAGGAAUCUGCCUGGUAGUGGGGGAUAACGUCCGGAAACGGGCGCUAAUACCGCAUACGUCCUGAGGGAGAAAGUGGGGGAUCUUCGGACCUCACGCUAUCAGAUGAGCCUAGGUCGGAUUAGCUAGUUGGUGGGGUAAAGGCCUACCAAGGCGACGAUCCGUAACUGGUCUGAGAGGAUGAUCAGUCACACUGGAACUGAGACACGGUCCAGACUCCUACGGGAGGCAGCAGUGGGGAAUAUUGGACAAUGGGCGAAAGCCUGAUCCAGCCAUGCCGCGUGUGUGAAGAAGGUCUUCGGAUUGUAAAGCACUUUAAGUUGGGAGGAAGGGCAGUAAGUGAAUACCUUGCUGUUUUGACGUUACCUACAGAAUAAGCACCGGCUAACUUCGUG
rnacentral:rRNA from 1 species